rnacentral:sRNA from 1 species
UCAUACAUUUAUAUUUGCGUGCAGCAUCC